rnacentral:lncRNA from 1 species
ACACACGCACAGAUAUAUACAUACGCACAUACACUAUACAAUUUAUGCAAAUCGUCAAAAUAUUAGUUAAAACAACUUUUGUUAAGAGACAUAACUUAAAUUUAGCAUAUGUUUUUUUUGAUGCACGUUAAAUUGUAUGACGACGGAUACAAUAAUUAAUAUUUAGCAAUUUUGUUGUGUAAUUCUAUGCCAAUUAAGUGUAGAACAUCAUACUCUUUUAGGUUGUAGUAUGACGAAAUAAUAUGUUUAAAAGAGUAUACAAGUUUAGUACAAAAAUAUAUGUAAUUUUUAUUUCAUCUUAAGAAACUUUUUUUAACUAAAUCUAGGUUAAUGUCGAUUACAAAAAAGGUUACAUUACUUUAGUAGGCACUAUAUUCUAAUUGUGGAUAUUAUUGUUAUGCGCGAUAACAAUCGAGAUUGGUAUUGAGCUCACAUGGCUAGGCUUGAGAACUACACUGACCCUGAACAUCGUGCUCUCUUUCUGAAUGUUAAACUGGAUCGAGUGUUCUUUUUGCCACAUACUUCAAAUAAAAAUGUUGGUUAUUUCUAUGAGUACCGAUAUAUUUAUACUUAGUGAAAAUAGUGAAAACUCAACUGGAUACAAAAGCAAAAGGUGUUCAUUUUUUUGUCAAAAUUCUUUAAAAGGUGAUUGAAUUUCUUUUAAUUUCUCAAAUUCCAAAAACUGAACUGGCUCUUUUUGCUGGACUGAAAAGCAGGCAUCGGUGUUUCCUAAUUCUUACCAAACCAAAUUUAAGAACCGCGGGUUGAAAUCAGGUUAUAUCGCGAAAAGAAAUAUCUAAUACAAUUCUUACUCUUGAAACUGAAGAUGUAGUUCUUCGACCAUUAGAAAAAAAAUACUUAUUUGGCUGGAGGUGGACCCACCUGAUCAACAGGUAGCAUGCAUUAGAAAACAAUAAUAUAAUCAUCAUAACUAAAAUUAAAUUGCCGGCUAGGAUCCAUUCGUUAAUUAAAUAAAUUCAUAAUUGAUGUGUAAUAACUCGACUUAUUCAUGAUUAUGGAUGAAAUGCUAAACCAAUUGAAUAAUUACAUGCAUCCAUCAUAGAAAAUAAUAUCUAGAUCAGAGCAUGAAGUGGGUCCUCACCCAAACAUGACCAAUCCAAUCUACAUGUGGAAGAAGUCUUGUCACACCGAUUGUGACAGUGACAAUGCGGAUUCUAUGAUUGCAACAUAGAGCAUUAGUAUUACCGUUGGGCAUUUCAUCAGAUAUAU